rnacentral:rRNA from 1 species
GUGAGGAAUAUUGGGCAAUGGGCGAAAGCCUGACCCAGCCACGCCGCGUGAGUGAUGAAGGCCUUCGGGUUGUAAAGCUCUGUGGGGAGGGAAGAAAAAGCGGGAGAGUAACUGCUCUCGUGUUGACGGUACCUCCUUAGCAAGCACCGGCUAACUCUGUGCCAGCAGCCGCUGUAAUACAGAGGGUGCAAACGUUGCUCGGAAUUACUGGGCGUAAAGCGCGUGUAGGCUGACAUGCAAGUCGGGUGUGAAAUCCCAGGGCUCAACCUUGGAACUGCACUCGAAACUGCACGUCUUGAGUACUGGAGAGGGAAGCGGAAUUCCGGGUGUAGAGGUGAAAUUCGUAGAUAUCCGGAGGAACACCAGUGGCGAAGGCGGCUUCCUGGACAGUAACUGACGCUGAGACGCGAAAGCGUGGGGAGCAAACAGGAUUAGAUACCCGGGUAGUCC